UUUGCACUAACUUCAGGAACCAGCUCAUGAUCUCAGGAUGUAUGGAAAAAUAAUCUUUGUAUUACUAUUGUCAGCUCCUGUAGUGAUAAUACUCAUUAUUUUGUGUGUGAUGGCUGGUAUUAUUGGAACGAUCCUCUUAAUUUCUUACAGUAUUCGCCGACUGAUAAAGGCAUGAGGAUGUGGCCUGCAUGCUGCCUGAUCUUGCCUAGAACCGGCUGCACCUGCUGUUCUCUUGUUUAUGCAAACUGGCUGCACCUGCUAUUCCUUUGCUUAUGCC
rnacentral:lncRNA from 1 species